rnacentral:sRNA from 1 species
ACCCGAGCGCAGCGAGAGAGCGUUGCGCAAGCAACGACCCGCAGGGCGAAGCCGCAAAGCGGCGAGUUAUCCUCUGGCACCGACCA